AUUGAACGCUGGCGGCAGGCCUAACACAUGCAAGUCGAGCGAGCGGCGGACGGGUGAGUAAUGUCUGGGGAUCUGCCCGAUAGAGGGGGAUAACUACUGGAAACGGUGGCUAAUACCGCAUACCAUCGGAUGUACCCAUAUGGGAUUAGCUAGUAGGUGGGGUAAAGGCUCACCUAGGCGACGAUCUCUAGCUGGUCUGAGAGGAUGAUAAGCCACACUGGAACUGAGACACGGCCCAGACUCCUACGGGAGGCAGCAGUGGGGAAUAUUGCACAAUGGGCGCAAGCCUGAUGCAGCCAUGCCGCGUGUAUGAAGAAGGCAUUAGGGUUGUAAAGUACUUUCAGCGGGGAGGCGUUACCCGCAGAAGAAGCACCGGCUAACUCCGUGCCAGCAGCCGCGGUAAUAC
rnacentral:rRNA from 1 species